AGUCCACCAAGCUCCUGCGCCACGGUUGCACCUCUGCACCAGAAAAAAGCCAGUUCUCUUUGAUUUUGGAUGCUGGCAGAUUCGAGAUGGGAGCAUUCUCCCUACGUUUUGGGAGGUCAUCAGCGACGAGCAUGGCAUCGACCCCACUGGCAGUUACCAUGGCGACAGCGACUUGCAGCUGGAGAGGAUCAACGUGUACUACAAUGAAGCCGCUGGUAACAAGUAUGUGCCCCGGGCCAUCCUGGUGGAUCUGGAGCCGGGCACCAUGGACUCGGUCAGGUCUGGACCCUUCGGCCAGAUCUUCAGGCCCGACAACUUUGUGUUUGGCCCAGAAAUAAACCCACCUGCUUCCAGACCACUAAACUUCAACAAAGGAGACAAGACCACACACGGGGAAAGCCAGGCUCUUCAGCAGGUGGUGCUGGGAAAGCUGGACAGCUGCAUGCAAGUCCAUGCAAUCAGAACACACCUCACACCAUGCCCCAAAAUAAACUCAAAAUGGCUUAAAGACAAAUAUAAGACAGGACACCAUAAAGCUCCUGGCAGAGAACACAGGCAAAACAUUCUCUGACAUAAACUGCAGCAGUUUUCUUAGGGCAGUCUCCCAAGGCAAAGGAAAUAGAAGCAAAAAUAAACAAAUGGGACCUAAUCAAACUGACAAGCCUUUGCGCAGCAAAGAAAACCAUAAACAGAAUGAAGAGACAAUCCAUGGGUUGAGAGAAAAUAUUUGCAAACAACACGACCAACAAGGGCUUAAUUUCCAAAAUAGACAAACAGCUCAUAAAACCCAAUAGCAAAACACCCCAAGCAACCCAAUCAAAAAAUGGGCAGAAGACCUAGACAUUUUUCCAAAGAAAAGAUGGCAGACAUAUGAAAAGAUACUUAGCAUCACUAGAGAAAUAGGAAUCAAAACUACAAUGAGGUACCCCCUCCACCAGUCAGAAUGGCCAUCACCCAAAAGUCUACGAAUAACAAAUGCUGGCGAGGAUGUGGAGAAAAGGGAACCCUCUUCCACUGUUGGUGGGAGUGUGAGCUGGUACAACCACCAUGGGGAGAACAGCAAGGAGGUUCCUUAAAAACUAAAUAUAGAAUUACUCCAUGAUCCAGCAAUCCCACUCCUGGGCAUACACCCAGAAAAGGUAAAAACUCCGAAAAGACAGAGGCACCCCAGUGUUCAUAGCAGCAUCACUCACAAAAGCCAAGGCAUGGAAGCAACCGAAAUGUCCCCUGGCAGAAGAAUGGAUAAAGAUGACGUGGCACAUAGAUACAAUGGAAUAGUCCUCAGCCAUUCAGAAGAACAGAAUUCUGCCAUUUGCAGCAACAUGCAUAGACCUAGAGAUUAUCACACUAGGUGAAGAAAGUCAGAGAAAGACAAGUAUUAUAUAACAUCACGUAUGCAUGGAAUCUAAAAAACAAUACAAUGAAUUUACUUGCAAACAAACAGGAACAGACUCACAGACACAGAAAACAAACUCAUGGUUACCAAAGGGGAAAGGGGGAGCCGGAGGGAUAAACCAGGAGUUUGGGAUCAACACGUACCCGUCACUGAAUAUAAAAGAGCUAAGGAAGGACCGCCUGUCCAGCACAGGGACCCUGUGCAAGGUCUUGUAAUAAGGGAAAGAAUCCGAAAAAAAAUCACGUAUCACCGAAUCACUUUGUUGUACACCUGAAACUAACACAAUGCUGUAAGUCACCUAUACCUCAAGAAAAUAAAGAAUUUAAAAGCGCAUACAAUAA
rnacentral:lncRNA from 1 species